rnacentral:lncRNA from 1 species
CAGUCAAGUGACCAACAGACACCCAUACAGCCAUUGUAUUAGGCCGAUUCAAAGGAGUUACUCUGUGAUAACAACACAGAUUAUAAGAAACACAAGAGCAACUUACCCGGAGGAAGCCGUAAAGGCAUAUGGACAUCCAGUUGGUUAACAGUUUCUCUACUGUGGACUCAGUGCGCCGUAGCAAGAGCUUGGGCUGUGUGUUGCUGUGUUGGUGCAUCAGAGCCUUCAGCAGGACCUCCAUCACCUCUGUCAGGUACAACAGGUUGCCGUGAAGUGCUACUGUUAGCAGAGAUGCCAACAUACACCUGAAACAGAACAGAAUUAAAUAAGGACAAUGUCUAUGUUAACUGCAUAGUCGUGCCUGCAGAGAGAAUACUUGACACCAUGUUUGCAGGGAAAAAACUACAUCUUCAUAAAGUAGAUAAGGUCUAGUUGUAGCAAUUCAGCCAAAAGACACAAGGAUACAAAGGGUGAAUUGCUGCACUGAAUUGCUACAAAACAGAAAUAUUUUGUAUAACGAUGUGUAGAAAUAGUCACAUAAACAGGCUUUCAUUAAGUAAAUUAUGAAAAAAAAAACUGGCUUGUCUUUGAUGGUGAAGCUCUUCUGCUCCUCCAGAGUGUGAACCAUAGAGGUGAGGAAGAACUGAUCCUGAAUCAGCCCAGACAAGCCCUGGCAGCUUUCAUCAAGCUGAACCGUCACUGCAUCCUGUCACCAGAUUCUGGUGGCAAAGUGCUUGUAGUCCAGGAAAGGAAUUGCUCCAACAUUUUCCAUCAGAUCAGCUUUCUCCGUCUGCAGAUCCACAAAACCUGCAGCAUACAUUUAAGUGAGACUGCUUUUGUGGAUAAUCGACAUGGAAGAGGGGUGAAAGCCAUUAAAAGACCUAUAUUUUCUCCAGGGAAACAGAACAAUGGACAAAGCAGAUGAUAAAUAUUUCCCUGCUGUGUCAAUAAAAUUUAAAUGAAAAACAAUACAAAGUAAAGUGGAGAGAAACUAACAGAGAUAUGUGACAAGCUUGACACCCGAAAAACAAAGUGGUUCAAGUGGUUAAACAUUGAGGAGGGUGUUAUAGAGCCAAGUUCCUUAUCAAAAAUAAUCUGAUUCAUCUAGAAAAGAAGCAUGCUGCAGAGACUGUGAAACAGAGCUAUAAGGCAUUCUAAUUUAGCAGACAGUCUUCAAGGUCGGAAACAUCUGUAAACACAGAGCGAAAAUGAAAAAUGCAAAGACUGGCAUAAAAUGCUACUUGUAUCAAUGUGUGAAAUUAAGAUUGAAAUAACAAAAUGCUGCAGCUAUGUGGUGGACUAAUAUAGUUACAUGUUCCAACUCAACCCUCAUGACUAUUUAAGAAUGAAUGUAUAAUUUUUUGUAACCUAGACAUAUAUUUAUAACCUAGAUAACGUAGAUUUUAUAAAUCUAGGCUAUAACAUAGCCAAGAUUCAUAACUGUUGUAAAUGCACCAGAGUUUGUUCAGAGGCUUUUUUUUCCCCAUCUGUAAUUCUUGAGCAGAUGUUUCAAAAUCUUUGCUGAGUUAUAAGUGUCACUGUUGUUUGUGUUGUAAACUAUAUGCUGGAAAAAAUGUGAGCAUCUGGAAAAUGCUGAAGAUGUCGAUGUACAACAGGGGUAUGAUGCUAAAGAACAGUAGUUUCUAUUUAGCAUUUGAUACCAAAAUUUGUCCUGUUAAACUGGCCAGUAUUUGAGUUCAUUGUAAAUGUCUACAGGGGAGAAGUGCUCAAUACUUUGAUGUUACAGCACAUAUACAUUGUGAGAAUUUAAAAAAAAAAAAAAAAAAAAAAACCUUGUCUGAUGUCAUUCCUGAUGUCCAGCUCCAGGUCUUCCACAAACCUGUUCAUCUCCGCAGUAAGCUUCUUCUGUUUGCUACGGUAGAGAAUUAUGACAGCUGAAAGACAAAAAGAAACAUAAAGACUUUUGCACAUGAAAAAUAGCCAGUCUUUAUCUUUUACAGAGGCCCACAAGGCAGCAACAGCUGUAGCUCACUCCUGGGUUCUUAAUGUGCUACACCUAUCAGGUGCUAGUUAAGGUUUUUUCUAUACAUCUCCAAGUUUGGUAGUUAUAAAAAAUGGUUCAAAUCACUCAACCAGAAUUUGUAUACUCACUGAUAAUGAUGAAGGGUAUCAAGAGAAGUAUAAGCAGCAUCCAAAUGUAUAGCGGUGGUGAACCGAGGUUCAGUGGUAUCGUCUUGUCUCCAUACCUUAUCUACAGAAAAGGAAUUAAGAUACUAUAAGAUAAUGCUCAGUUGUCAGUUUGCAGAAAAAUUUCUUUGGACACAAACUCAGCAAUUACAUGCAAUAUUAAAAACACAUUCAAAAUAAAACCUAUUCAUUAAAGCAUUAAUAACCACAUAUGUAGUUGUGGCCUGUACAGUAUAGGUCAUAUUCUCAAACAAAUGAGAGAGUUGGAGGAACACAGUAAGUCCAAAGUAGGGCUAAGUGGCCGGUCUGUGUAUGUGAGAGAAGAGAGAGAAUGUAUUUAUUCCUCUUGCAGCGUGGCGCCCUAAUUAUCACAUUUAUUUUAAAAGAAUUUCACAGCAAACACAUCUACUACUAUUAUACAUAACACAAAACUAUUGUGCUUGGUCACCAAUCCUGGUUUGCUUUAUUGACUGAAAGUUUUACCAUUAUCUGCUGAAAUUUAGUGAUGGUUGUGCUCUUAAUGUCACAGGUGAAAUAAUCUGUCUUGUUUUUUGUUUCUUUGAGCAGCCAUGUGCAGCUAUGUUCUUUUCCUUUAUGAAUGCCAAACACUGAUAGUUCUGCUGUUGUCAACUCCAGCUUGUCUGCCUUUUUCUGAAAUGAGAAACAGAAACAAGUGCUGAUCAUUAAUGUGUUCAUAUCAUAUCGUUUGUGCAUGCAUGACAAAAAUAUUAAUUACCUCUAUGACAAUGCGCACGUGGUCUCCUUUAUGUGUGGAUGUGAAGUGGGUAAACUCAGGGUCUGGAUAGUAGAUGAUGUUGGCUGAGCAAGGCAAGGUUUCAUUGGCUACUUUCAGAAACACAGUGCUGUUAAAAGUCCCCCGAGUGCUUGCAGCUCCAGAUGUGUAAUAGGUGAGAUCCUGCAGAAAAUGACCUGGAUCAUUUAAUCUUAUACAGAAUGUGAUGUAAUCUAUGUAUGGCAUUGUGUGAAAUGAUGGUAUAAUGUGACAGGACUCUAUGUG